AUGGACGAAAGUCUGACCGAGCAACGCCGCGUGAGUGAAGAAGGUUUUCGGAUCGUAAAGCUCUGUUGUAAGUCAAGAACGUGUGUGAGAGUGGAAAGUUCACACAGUGACGGUAGCUUACCAGAAAGGGACGGCUAACUACGUGCCAGCAGCCGCGGUAAUACGUAGGUCCCGAGCGUUGUCCGGAUUUAUUGGGCGUAAAGGGAGCGCAGGCGGUCAGGAAAGUCUGGAGUAAAAGGCUAUGGCUCAACCAUAGUGUGCUCUGGAAACUGUCUGACUUGAGUGCAGAAGGGGAGAGUGGAAUUCCAUGUGUAGCGGUGAAAUGCGUAGAUAUAUGGAGGAACACCAGUGGCGAAAGCGGCUCUCUGGUCUGUCACUGACGCUGAGGCUCGAAAGCGUGGGUAGCGAACAGGAUUAGAUACCCUGGUAGUCCACGCCGUAAACGAUGAGUGCUAGGUGUUAGGCCCUUUCCGGGGCUUAGUGCCGGAGCUAACGCAAUAAGCACUCCGCCUGGGGAGUACGACCGCAAGGUUGAAACUCAAAGGAAUUGACGGGGGCCCGCACAAGCGGUGGAGCAUGUGGUUUAAUUCGAAGCAACGCGAAGAACCUUACCAGGUCUUGACAUCCCGAUGCUAUUCUUAGAGAUAGGAAGUUACUUCGGUACAUCGGAGACAGGUGGUGCAUGGUUGUCGUCAGCUCGUGUCGUGAGAUGUUGGGGUUAAGUCC
rnacentral:rRNA from 1 species